rnacentral:rRNA from 1 species
UGCGUAGGAUGCAAGCGUUGUCCGGAUUUAUUGGGUUUAAAGGGUGCUGAGGCGGCCUAUUAAGUUAGUGGUGAAAACGUUCGGCUUAACCGGAUACCCGCCAUUGAUACUGAUAGACUUGAGUGCGACAGAGGGUGUUGGAAUGUGUGGUGUAGCGGUGAAAUGCUUAGAUAUCACGCAGAACACCAAUUGCGAAGGCAGAUGCCUAUGUCGUAACUGACGCUGAGGCACGAAAGCGUGGGGAGCAAACAGG